rnacentral:rRNA from 1 species
AGUGAACGCUGGCGGUAGGCCUAACACAUGCAAGUCGAACGGCAGCACAGUAAGAGCUUGCUCUUACGGGUGGCGAGUGGCGGACGGGUGAGGAAUACAUCGGAAUCUACUUUUUCGUGGGGGAUAACGUAGGGAAACUUACGCUAAUACCGCAUACGACCUACGGGUGAAAGCAGGGGAUCUUCGGACCUUGCGCGAUUGAAUGAGCCGAUGUCGGAUUAGCUAGUUGGCGGGGUAAAGGCCCACCAAGGCGACGAUCCAUAGCUGGUCUGAGAGGAUGAUCAGCCACACUGGAACUGAGACACGGUCCAGACUCCUACGGGAGGCAGCAGUGGGGAAUAUUGGACAAUGGGCGCAGGCCUGAUCCAGCCAUACCGCGUGGGUGAAGAAGGCCUUCGGGUUGUAAAGCCCUUUUGUUGGGAAAGAAAAGCAGCAGGUUAAUACCCCGCUGUUCUGACGGUACCCAAAGAAUAAGCACCGGCUAACUUCGUG